AGUAAUAUAUCGGAACGUGCCCAGUAGUGGGGGAUAGCCCGGCGAAAGCCGGAUUAAUACCGCAUAGUAAUGUUGGGUGGCAUCACUUGAUAUUUAAAGAUUUAUCACUUAGAGAUGGCUGUGCGGCUGAUUAGGUAGUUGGCGGGGUAAAGGCCCACCAAGCCAUCGAUCAGUAACUGGUGUGAGAGCACGACCAGUCACACGGGCACUGAGACACGGGCCCG
rnacentral:rRNA from 1 species